rnacentral:rRNA from 1 species
GACGAACGCUGGCGGCGUGCUUAACACAUGCAAGUCGAACGGUAAGGCCCUUCGGGGUACACGAGUGGCGAACGGGUGGGUAACACGUGGGUGAUCUGCCCUGCACUUCGGGAUAAGCCUGGGAAACUGGGUCUAAUACCGGACAGGACCACUGCCUGCAUGGGUGGUGGUGGAAAGCUUUUGCGGUGUGGGAUGGGCCCGCGGCCUAUCAGCUUGUUGGUGGGGUGAUGGCCUACCAAGGCGACGACGGGUAGCCGGCCUGAGAGGGUGACCGGCCACACUGGGACUGAGAUACGGCCCAGACUCCUACGGGAGGCAGCGGUGGGGAAUAUUGCACGAUGGGCGCAAGCCUGAUGCAGCGACGCCGCGUGAGGGAUGACGGCCUUCGGGUUGUAAACCUCUUUCAGCACCGACGAAGCGCAAGUGACGGUAGGUGCAGAAGAAGGACCGGCCAACUACGUGCCAGCAGCCGCAGUAA